rnacentral:rRNA from 1 species
AGCGUAGACGGAGUGGCAAGUCUGAUGUGAAAACCCGGGGCUCAACCCCGGGACUGCAUUGGAAACUGUCAAUCUAGAGUACCGGAGAGGUAAGCGGAAUUCCUAGUGUAGCGGUGAAAUGCGUAGAUAUUAGGAGGAACACCAGUGGCGAAGGCGGCCUGCUGGACUGUUACUGACACUGAGGCACGAAAGCGUGGGAGCAAACA